ACAGAUCUGAAAAAAAUAAAAAUUACAUAAUUAAACACAUCAUAUUCUGUGUUGUAAAAGAAAUAACAUUAAUUCACCAAUUGUUCAAGUACAAUCUGAAAAACAAUACAAUUAUGUACACAAGCCAAUGAAGAAGCUUUACAAGGAGAUUCAACAAUAUGCUAGAAAUACCAGCUAAAUUUCUCUCCGAUGUCAACCUGCCAUCUUAAAUAAGGAAGGUCAUUAAUAUACCUAAAAUGAUUAGAUGGUCAUGAUUAGAAUGUCUUUCAAUACAGCUGUGCUUGGUCAAAGUUAAUGAAGGACUAAACAACUAAUAAAUUUACUGACACACAAAGCCAUCCAACAUCAAAACUAAAUAUGUACACACACACACGAAUGUGUGUGCACUAUCAAAAUAUCAAGCAUGUACAUAUAUACAUAAACAUAUAUGUAGCUCAUAUUAAUUCUAAUCUCACUGAUUUACACCAAACAGAUUUAUAAGUAUCGCACACACACACAUGCAUAUGUACCUAUGUGUAAUUGGAAUUUACAAAAAAAACAAAACAGAAGAUGAAGACGGGUGUGUAAACAACAAACAGAUGAGAAAGUCUCUUGCAUUUCGAGCCUACGCUCUUCAACAGAAAGGAACACAGAAAUAAACAUUGAGAGAAAAAAUUAUAUUGGUUACAUAUAUGUAAUCAAUAUAGUACCUUUAUAAGCAGGACUAAUUUAGCUGUUUCUCCAUAGACUGAAAAAAAUUACGAACAACCUUAAUCAAUUUCUGAAUCUUAUUGGAGUCUCAUCAGAAAUGUCUACAUCAAUUUGACCAAUCCCAAAGAAACAAGGAGCCAAUCUGUUUAUAUGCUCAACAAUUACAGUAGUUACAGAAAACUGGAGCUACUAAUUUGCAUACAAAAUAACGAAUAUUUAGUGUGGAUCUCUUCUUUAUUGCCAUUGCUGUUGACAUUCACUUUUACAAACCUAAAUACUACAGAGCAUUAUCCUUAUUCAAGAAGAUAGGAAAUAAGCUAUCAAGUGACAGCAAAGUGUGAAAAGGAGUUUUCAAAGAAAUUAUAAUGGAUGUUAAGCUUGAUGUAUUACAAAAAGCUCCAGAGUGCAAGGAUCAAUGAUGCAAUACGCUUAUAAAGCUGACGGUCAUCAGGCAAAAGCUAAAUGUCUAUUUUUAUCUCUUCAAAUGUUUGUCUGUAUGUAUCUAUUUAGAAAUGAUUAUUUUCAUGCAUAAAUGUGGCUGUACUUAUUUUUUCAAGAAAAUUCCAUAAAAACACUUAUCAAUUUAUAUAACGUGGAAGUCAGUGGGAAAAUAGGUUUUGCAUUACAGAAUACCAGGUUAUGGUAAAUCAUUCAUGAGUGCAAACAUUUCCAUAAUGAAAGGGAUUGCUUGCUAUAUUAAUCUGUUUUAACAAUGACAUAGACCCACUCCUAAAUUAAAUUCUGUCUGCUCAAACUAA